GGCAAAUCAUUUCAGCCUCCCCCAAUCUCCAUCUAUAAUCUCGUUCUUAGAUCUGAACUUGCCCUCUCUCUCUCUCUCUCUCUCUCUCUCUCUCUCCCCCCGCAACUGCAAACUAGAAAAUCUAGAAGAAUCAGAAGUGCAAAACCCAUAUAUUUCAGUUUAUCUAUCUGUCUGCAAGAAUCAAAAGUUCAAAACCCAUAUCGGCAUAUCAUUUCAGAUUUUUCAAAAAAUCGAAACCCAUAUCUUUCAGUUCGGGUUCGCCGUUCGCAAGCUUCAGCCGCUGUCUCUCAACUCUCAAGCUUGUCCCCCCUCUCUCUGCAACUGCUAACUUGUUAGCAUCGGGCCUUAACAUUUAGCAAGGAUAAGGUUCAAGAUAUAUGUCUCCUCAGUCAUCAGGUAUCUUUUCUGAAAGAAGAGAAUUGAUGGGAAUGGGUGGAGUAGGGGAAAUAGAUUUACUCGACUUUGGAACCAUGCUGGUGCACUAAUCAACAAAACCAAGGAGCUUGUGUUUAGACAACAUAUUCAGUGCCCCAAAUUUUCGGAUUGUGGGAAUGACUACUGGGAUCAUCACGGCUUAUGAUGUUCUAUUUCAUGAUGAUAUUCAGCAAAUUGUCCAUGAUGAAAUGGCUCCUGUUAUUACUGAGCUCCAAAAGACUACAGCAACUAUGGAAAAUCUCAAGACCCAGAUGGAAAUUAAUGGCAAGUCCAUUGAUUCUGGAAAUGCCACCCAACGUGAGUUACUGGGGGUGGCAAAGAGGUUUGGGGAGAAGUACUCGGAGGCAAAGAAGGCCGGUGGGAAAGACAAGGCAGAGGUCUAGAAGGGGCAACAUAAUUGGGCUACUCUGAGUUUUGAUUAUGUCUCAUACAAAAUAAAUUUGUGAGCGAUGUUGAAACAUCUGGUUUUUGGCACUUUAUUUCUUCUAAAGCUAUCAUCUUGGCACUUUAUUUCUUCUGUUUAUAUUCAUCUUCUACUUUACUCGUGUUGUGAGUGAUGUUGAAACAUCUGGUUUUUGGCACUUUAUUUCUUCUAAAGAUAUUCAUCUUGGCACUUUA